CCCUGCUUUGCACAACACAGACUCGAAGAGCAUCAUGUGCUGAGCUUGAGAUGUAGAGACCUGCUGCUGUUCCUGACCUGCUGUGGGCUGUGGCUGGCUGACCUGCCCUCUGCUCCACUCUACAAAGCUGGUAUCUUCACUGCUCCUCUGCUCCAAGACUGAAUGGCCAGAGCCCAGCUCACCUUAUCAGAGCAAUCAUUUGUGAAGCUGCAUUACAGUGGAUGCUAAAUUUGACAAGCUGGAUAUGAUGCAUAUAUUGAAACAUUCUUCACAUGAAGAUUUUGGCUUUAGAGACAACAGGUUUUUGAAGACCUUAUUUUGUGAAGGAACCAAACUUCAGACCUUUGAAGGAAUCAUGCUUUGUUUUUCAGAGGAGUGAUAAAGACAUUGCUGUGCUCGUCUGUGCUGUGGUUCUCUGUACAAAUGUGAACCCUCGUCUCAGUGUCUGACUUGUGAAGCCACAUGGAAAUAGGUGAACA